rnacentral:rRNA from 1 species
AGUGAACGCUGGCGGUAGGCCUAACACAUGCAAGUCGAGCGGCAGCACAGUAAGAGCUUGCUCUUACGGGUGGCGAGUGGCGGACGGGUGAGGAAUACAUCGGAAUCUACUUUUUCGUGGGGGAUAACGUAGGGAAACUUACGCUAAUACCGCAUACGACCUACGGGUGAAAGCAGGGGAUCUUCGGACCUUGCGCGGUUGAAUGAGCCGAUGUCGGAUUAGCUAGUUGGCGGGGUAAAGGCCCACCAAGGCGACGAUCCGUAGCUGGUCUGAGAGGAUGAUCAGCCACACUGGAACUGAGACACGGUCCAGACUCCUACGGGAGGCAGCAGUGGGGAAUAUUGGACAAUGGGCGCAAGCCUGAUCCAGCCAUACCGCGUGGGUGAAGAAGGCCUUCGGGUUGUAAAGCCCUUUUGUUGGGAAAGAAAAGCAGCAGGUUAAUACCCCGCUGUUCUGACGGUACCCAAAGAAUAAGCACCGGCUAACUUCGUG